UACGUAGGGCGCAAGCGUUGUCCGGAAUUAUUGGGCGUAAAGAGCUCGUAGGCGGCUUGUCACGUCGGGUGUGAAAGCCCGGGGCUUAACCCCGGGUCUGCAUUCGAUACGGGCAGGCUAGAGUCCGGUAGGGGACCACGGAAUUCCUGGUGUAGCGGUGAAAUGCGCAGAUAUCAGGAGGAACACCGGUGGCGAAGGCGGUGGUCUGGGCCGGCACUGACGCUGAGGAGCGAAAGCUAGGGGAGCGAAUGGG
rnacentral:rRNA from 1 species